AACGAACGCUGGCGGCAUGCCUAACACAUGCAAGUCGAACGAGACCUUCGGGUCUAGUGUCGCACGGGUGCGUAACGCGUGGGAACCCGCCCUUAGGUUCGGAAUAACUCCCCGAAAGGGGUGCUAAUACCGGAUAAUUUCUUCGUACCAAAGAUUUAUCGCCUUUGGAUGGGCCCGCGUUGGAUUAGCUAGUUGGUAGGGUAAAAGCCUACCAAGGCGACGAUCCAUAGCUGGUCUGAGAGGAUGAUCAGCCACACUGGGACUGAGACACGGCUCAGACUGCUACGGGAGGCAGGAGUGGGGAAUAAUGGACAAUGGGCGAAAGGCUGAACCAGCAAUGCCGGGUGAAUGAUGAAGGCCUUAGGGUUGUAAAGCUCUUUUAACCGGGAUGAUAAUGACAGUACCGGGAGAAUAAGCUCCGGCUAACUCCGUG
rnacentral:rRNA from 1 species